UGUGUGUCCGCCAGGUUCAGUGGAAACAUGGCUCCUCUCAGCCUCUUUGCUGAUUCUGGUUUGAAGGUAUUUAAUUCCUCCCUCUCUCCAGGUACGGUUUACAAACAGGCACGGAGAACCCAGCAGCAAGAAGUUUUCCCUGAUACUAUUUUUGGGUGCAGGCACAGGACUGGGGAUGGAACCCAGCGAUGCUUUACCUCUGAUCUACAUUCCUCGUCCUUUUCACUUUUUAUGGAGACAGGGUCUUGCUAAGUUGCUAAGGCUGGUCUGGAACUUGCAAUCUGCCUUCUUCAGCCUCCUGAGAAGCUGAGAUUACAGGCGUGUGUCACCAAGCCCAUCGGGAGGUUGGCUCUGAAAGCCAUAAAGGGCUGUUGAUCCUCAGGGAGUUGGGACGCAGGUGAGAGCAUGAAAACUUGGAUGAACAGCUUCCCUUUCUACAGACACAGACGGUCAGUCUUCAUAAAGUAAUAAGAACACAUGUCAUUUUGUGCUACUAAUAAAUGCCUCAUUUGUCCACCAUGGCUAAUAUUUAGGAAUUCUUAUUACUUAGUCUGGGGACUACACUCUGGACAUUUCUGGUGUCCUUCAUUUUGUGCCUUGAGGAAGAGUUUCCCUCUGAGUUGAUACUCUGACUACUACUGCUGCACACACACACACACAUACAGAGAGAGAGAGAGAGAGAGAGAGAGAGAGAGAGAGAGAGAGGGAGAGGGAGAGAUUGAUUUUGUUGUAGUUGUUGCUCUGUGGUGGGGGGGAUCAAACCCAGGGCCUUGUAGGUGCCAGGCCUCACUCUGCCACAGCUACUCUGUGCUGGUGCACUUAUUUAUAAAAUUUCUAGGUCUUGAUUAUCCCCACAGGCUUUACUUGCAUGUUUGCUGUGACAACGGAUGGUCCUACCAGCAGGAGGCAAGGAACACAGGUGAGUCUGUCUACAGGUUGCAAAAGGUCCAUGUAAGAUCUUUCAUGUUUGUAAGGAACACUGAGAACGUGUGUCCACGUGCAGCUCUGAAAGGGAUGGGGAACGUGUUGUGUUCCUUUUGGGUACCAUGGAUCACUCACAGGAAUUUGAUGCAGGCCUGUAUGUUGCAGGAUUUGUCCCCAUGACCCAGAUGUAAAUCUGAUGAAAACAGAUCUUCCCUCAAGUCACCUGGAGUCAGGUAGGGGAGAGAAAGGCUGGAAUAAAGAGGUGAAAUGAAAGGAGCAGGUGGCAGAGACAGAGGUAAGUGUCCCUCUCUUCCCACCCCCAAGGGUAUGUGAGAACUUCCGACCUGGCUUCCUAACCAGUUAUAGGGAGGCCAUUACCUCCCUCACAGGUCACCCAGUUCCACUUGGGCAAUGUAGGGAGGUCUUUCUGGUCUUCACACUGGCAGAACAGAGUAGAAAUAGGGCUUAUCUCAUCAGUCUAAUGUGGUAAUUAGGGUGUUAGAUCAGGAUGUUUGCCAUGAGAAAUGGGUGUCCCUGUCAGCUCUGAGAGGGACCGUGGCCUUUCCUGCACCGACAUGUGAAGUGCAUCUCAGGAAGAAACAAGGAAAGUCAGAGAGACCGAUGGGAACAAGAUGGAAGGACGUUUGGGGGAGAUGACUUCUCUGGAGGAGAGGAGCUGGUGGGUGAUGGUUCUGGCCACCCAUUUUCCUGAUGCUCACUUCUUCCCCUUCAGGUUCCCAACCCCCAUGAAGAAUCACAGGUAUUCCCUGGUGGGGAAAGAGGUUCUGGAUCCUCCACACAUCCACUUGAUUUUCUGAGGCACUUGGUGAGGGUGGGGCCAGGGAGUGGGAAGAGAUGGAGGCACAGGCCACCCUCUGCCCGCUUGUGUCCCCAUGAGGUGUCAGGCAAGCAGUGAGGGUGGCCAUUGUGUGGGCUGGGGUGUGAUGCCCCUAGGGUCCUGCAACCUCCCGGUUCCAAUGACUGUAGUAUGGCAACAGCUUGUGUGGAUUCCUCCUUCUUCACUCCGUGUCUGCUCCCCAAAAUCCCCUCUGAUGCAGGGACAGGGAGAAGAUGUGAGACCUGCCAGGUAGGUGCUGCAGGGCUCAAAUCUGCCAGCUCACAUUCCUGUCCUGCGACCUCCCGCCUGCACAUCUAGUCAGCAGAUGGAAGCCUGCCAUUUGUGAAUUCUGUGAGCCCUGGUUGUUUUUUGCUUCUCUUUCCCAGUAAGGGUGGCUGAAGUUAGGGUGAUAGGACUAGAUGAUCUUUAGGACAAGUAGCCCUCUCCCUUGACCCACAGUGGCAACACGUAGAGAAACAUCAGUGUUUCCAGCAGUCGGCUGGAAAGCACACUGGGAACUUAGCAAUAUUUGGUCAGCCAACGCCCAAGGCUCCUUUCAACCCUAAGAAGGUGAGUGGAAGGUGAGUCCAAUCCCCAGCAUUCAAAUAAACGCAGAAAGAGCAACCUGUGGCUCACAGCUAUAAUUGUGAAGGUCAUCUGUUCCUGGGUAAAAACGAUUCUGAAUUAUCUUAGAUCUUUGCUACACCUAGCCUUUCAGCACUGUGAACUGUGAGGCUUCCCUUUCAAUAUCCUGAGAAGGGCAUGGAAACUAAAGUCACAACACUGAAGGGCAGUUGGUGGGCUGCAGUAACUGUGGUUCCGACUGCACCUGUAUACCUGUGAGCACACCUUUGGCAAUGGGCCUUUUUCUCCUCCUCCAGUCAGGCCUGGAAUUCAUUUCCCCACGUACUGACCCUGAGUGGCUCUAUGUGACUCCUUUUGGAAUAGUGUGUUUGAGGCAUGUCAUUGGUCACCUUCCUAGGGCCUGCCAGGGAAGAUGGCUUUUCUUAGUUUCUGCCCUUGUCUGUCAGCAGCUGGAGCUCUCUGUGCUAUGAAGAAUUCCAGAGUGAAAGUUCAAGUGCAGGGAGAGACCCGUCAGCCUGGCUGUUCCUGCCUUUCCUUCUGGGAUCUGAUAUUCUAAUGAGAUGGGCUUCUGAGUCCAGCCCACAUUCCCUGACUGCAAUGGCAUGAGAGAGCUCAGGUUGGUCCAGCAGGGCUUUGUGUGAUCCUCAGGUGAGCACAGGUAGCCUACUUGUGAUCCUCAGUUGAGACUACUUGUUUUCUUCAAUGCGCUCAACUACAUUUCACUUCUCUCAGCUUUUCUUAUUCAUCUACAAAUGUGAUAAAGCAAAGAUGACCCAAAUAGACUACUUAAAAUAGAGGAAUAAGAGAAUUUGCAGAAAUAUGCAUCAGCUCUAGGUUCAUACCUGGUAUAUCAUCAACUCUACUUCAUUUAUUUAGCUUAGGAAAGUUACAUGGCCAAGGCCAGCAUUAAAGAAUGUAAACGUGGUUCUGCUUAGAAUGAAAGAAC
rnacentral:lncRNA from 1 species